rnacentral:rRNA from 1 species
AUGGCGUGCUCCAGCCUGUCCCACGCUGUGGCUCUCGUCGCCAAGGUGCCGGCGCCGUCCUCCUCUCGGCGCCGGUCGUACUCGAUGGUCCGCCUCCCGCCCCUCCGUACUGCUCGUUCCCUGACGAUGCGCUGCGCCGGUGGGUACGGUAACACCGCCGUACCUCCCACGGCGCCGGACGAGUGCUUCCGCUUCACGCGGGAUCCAGGUGCCGACAUGGAGGCGACGGUGGCGCUGCUGGACGCGGUGGCCGGUGCGUUCCGGCCCCUCCUGGACAACCUGAAGCAGCUGCGCUCCCUCCGGACCGUCUUCGACGUGGAGGACUACCACGUCGGCAUGCCUUUCGGAGCCUUCCUGGCGUGCUUGGGGCUGUGGCAGAUGUGGAAGAUGGAUCCCUCGACGUGCCUCGACUUCAUGCUCGCCUACGCCUUCUACAAGCUCAGCGUCCUCGCGGCGGAUGUCCGGAAACAGGGCUUUUGCAACGACCUAAUCACCCGGGUCCAGCUCGUCAUCGGCGUCACAAUGGCCAUCAAGGAUAUCCACAAAAGAAUUGUCCCCCUUGAUUACAUCAGGGUUCCUGUUUUCUUCCUUUAUACCGUGUCGGUACUUUCGGACUUGAGCGGCGUGAAGAAGUUCCUGAAUCCUCUCUUCAAUUUCUUGUUGGCGCUAUCCAAGACCAAACACGGGAAAAUCGAGUUGAUGCGCAUGCUGGUGUUUCACGACUUCAGCUACUUCACACGAUAUUUCGGUGUGCCAAAGAUGGAGGGCGCAUCAAAUGCCCAGCAGAAGGAGUUGGAGCAAGCACAAACUAGGUUCCUUCGUCUGAUUGAUGAGGCUGAUCCCAAGAUGAAGGCCAAAAUGGAUGGAGCUAUGCCAAGCAUUGGCUCGGAUGCCUCGUCCGAAUGGACGGAGAGUGUACCGUAUAAUCAAAAUAAAUCAUGA